GGUUGACAAUGAGUCCAGGGGUCAGUUUCGAUUGAGCAGUGACUCGGGAAGGAGUGUUCCGUUUGAUCUACAUAUUUUUAAAAAGUGCUCGACAAUCGGUAGUUAGUGAAAGACCUUUAUCAUUGGAAAUUUUGUGACUUGCGUGGUUCGGAGAUUUUUCCACAAGCACUGGUUUUUCGUCUUGGAUUCGACGGCAGUUCGGCUUCGGCGACAGAAGAGGCGACAUCGGGAGCGACAUCAGUAGCAAAGCAGGUCCCUCAUUGCGACGAUGAAGAGAGAGAACGAUGACCAUUGCGUGACGGAAGCAAAUCA
rnacentral:misc_RNA from 1 species